AAGAGAGGCUCGCCAGCAACGGAAACUGCUAAUUUCCGCCCCCCUCAGUUGAACCCUGGGGCUCACUUG
rnacentral:tRNA from 1 species